AACUUAGUUAAGUAAGUCGCUGGAAGGAGAAUCUACAAUGUACUUUGACGCAGUUGUUAUCGCCGGAAUUGUUACUGUAUUACUGAUGCUGGGCUUCUUUGUGGGUGUCGGCAUUUUCGUCAUGAAGGACCAAAAGGCGCACGGAGACCACAAGAAAAAGGACGGAAAACAUGGCGGAAAACCGGUCUGACCUCCUUGGA
rnacentral:sRNA from 1 species